rnacentral:rRNA from 1 species
UACGUAGGGUGCAAGCGUUGCCCGGAUUUAUUGGGCGUAAAGCGCGCGUAGGCGGCUUUGUAAGUCAGAGGUGAAAUCCCGGAGCUCAACUCCGGAACUGCCUUUGAGACUGCAUCGCUUGAAUCCGGGAGAGGUGAGUGGAAUUCCGAGUGUAGAGGUGAAAUUCGUAGAUAUUCGGAAGAACACCAGUGGCGAAGGCGGCUCACUGGACCGGUAUUGACGCUGAUGUGCAAAAGCGUGGGGAGCAAACAGG